rnacentral:tRNA from 1 species
UCGCCGAAGGGCCGCCAGCGGACUCUUAAUCCGCGGGUUCGGGGUUCGAGUCCCUGCCGGCGCA